GACACUUUGGCCGAGUGGUCUAAGGCGCCAAUUUUAGGCUCUGGUCCGAAAGGGCGUGGGUUCAAAUCCCACAGCUGUCA
rnacentral:tRNA from 1 species